rnacentral:tRNA from 1 species
ACCUGGCUGGCUCAGUGAGUAGAGCAUGUGACUCUUGAUCUCAGGGUUGUGAGUUCAACUCCCACACUGGGCA